CACGUACAAGCUGUGCCUCAAGCUGAGCUCCUCUGGCCCCAUCAGGUCCUGUCUGCAGGGAGGGAGCUGAGGCCAAGAAAUAUUCAGACAAAUGAGGCUGUCCAUUUUAAGGAUUGGAAGGAAGUCUGAAGUCCCUCUGGACCCGCAACCUCACAUGUUUUAAGCUCCCCUGUGCCUCUUGUGUCCUCACAGCUAUCUCCAGGUUCCUGACGGUCCCUGAGAAAAGGAGGAUGGUGAUGCUGGGCAGGUGGCAAGGGAAAGAAAAAAGCUAAUUUGGCAUUAUGGUCCAGGAGCCAAUACUGUAUUAAUACUAUGUGAAUAAACUGAGCUUCUAAAUAUUACUUCA
rnacentral:lncRNA from 1 species